GGUCAAAGUAAUAAGAGUCUAUGGUGAAGGCCUAGGA
rnacentral:rRNA from 1 species